rnacentral:rRNA from 1 species
AACGCGUACGAUCGCCCUUGAGUUUGAUCAUGGCUCAGAAUAACGCUGGCGGCGUGCCUCAGACAUGCAAGUCGAACGCGAAAGUCCCCUUCGGGGGGCAAGUAGAGUGGCGCACGGGUGAGUAACACGUAGGUAAUCUACCUUUGGAUUGGGAAUAACCACCGGAAACGGUGGCUAAUACCGAAUAAUGCAGCGGCACCUAAUGGUGACAGUUGUUAAAGCGGGGGAUCGCAAGACCUCGCGUCUGAAGAGGAGCCUGCGGCAGAUUAGCUAGUUGGUAAGGUAACGGCUUACCAAGGCGAUGAUCUGUAGCCGGCCUGAGAGGGCGGUCGGCCACACUGACACUGACAUACGGGUCAGACUCCUACGGGAGGCAGCAGUCGGGAAUUUUGGGCAAUGGGCGAAAGCCUGACCCAGCAACGCCGCGUGAAGGAUGAAAUCCCUCGGGAUGUAAACUUCGCAAGAACGGGAAGAAUAAGUAAGGGUUAAUAUCUCUUACGAUGACGGUACUGUUUGUAAGCUCCGGCUAACUCCGUGCCAGCAGCCGCGGUAAUACGGGGGGAGCAAGCGUUGUUCGGAUUUACUGGGCGUAAAGGGCGCGUAGGCGGCCACCGCAAGUCGACUGUGAAAUCUCCGGGCUUAACCCGGAACGGUCAGCCGAUACUGCGGGGCUAGAGUGCAGAAGGGGCAACUGGAAUUCUCGGUGUAGCGGUGAAAUGCGUAGAUAUCGAGAGGAACACCUGCGG